CACCGGGGACGUUGACUCGUAGCAGGGGAGAAUGUAGCCAAGUGAACUGAAACUAUGCAUGGAAAGGGUUUAAAAAGAGGGGCUUGUGUUUAUGGCUGGUUGCCUGUCUACCAGAGGUCUGUUGUAGAGUUGUCAUGGUGAUGACUAGACCUCGCGUUUUGGGGGUAUACUGUCCCUUUAAGAGCCGCUGUAAGCCGGAGCACGCAUGCACUCAAGUUUGCGUCACACACUGAGCGCUGUGAGCGGGAGCACUGGAGAGUCAGAGGCUGCAAACGACUCUGUGGCUAGCUACACAAGAGGUAAAUGUGCUUAAAAAGUGUAGCAUACUGCAAAAUAUUGUCACCAGUGUUGUAGUAGACUGUAAUUAGCUAAGUUUCUUUAGCGAUGACUCCAUGUUUGUGACCAUUUCUGUAGAGUUCUUAACGCGCGACGGGUGUAUGUUUAAUGGUCACGUGCUGUGAGAGGGACUGACUGAAGAGCGGGUUGGCAGGGGAGAUCACUUGCUGUGUGAUUCCUGCGUGUGUACUUGUCCUAGCAGUGGCUGUGUGGAGAAACCAAA